AUUUUAUCACCAUUACCCAGGAGCAUGGAAAGCAACUGUCACUGGAACAACCACUGCUGUUCUUCUGGCCAUUAUACUAUUCGUUGUCUUCCUAUUAAUAAUUAAAAGGUGGCCCUUCAAGCAAUCACCAGAGCCUGGAAAGAUAGUUGAGAACAGAAACGAGUGUCUUCCCACUCCGGGGCAGCCGGAGGACCAGGAUGACAUUCACUAUGCCAGUAUCAAGUUCUCCAGUAAUCAGACAGAUGCUAUUUACUCCAAUGUCGGACCAG